AGAGACUUUUUCCACAGCGCGUGAGGAGAAGCGGGGUGCUGUGAGGGAAAGGCGGCGGCGGAGGCGGCGGCGGAGGCGGACACGAUAAACUUGGCCGCUCUACCGAUCUCUGUGAUCCCCUGCAGAACCAACUGGAAGUGCACCAUGCGUCAGUGAGGAGCUGCUGCGAGAGGCAGGAGCAAGAAGAGGAUGCGGAAGCGUGCAGACGCGGGGGGGAAGGAGAGAGGCUCCCUGGGCAAAGCAGCCGUCCCGUUAGCGGGGCCGCAGUCACAUUUAGUCCCAUUUGAGUUUGAGCGUUGCCGGCGCCUUGGCCGGCUUUGUGCUGGGCGACCUCCCUGUAAGCAGGGCUCGGGUCUUUGCUUUUGCUGUAGUUGGCCUUUUGCCUUGCUGCUCCUUUGGCUGCCUGGGGAGCGUGGGCCCCUGUAACGCAGGGCGAGAGCCACCUCUCCGCACCUGAGUGGGAAAUGGAGCUCGCCGGACCCCGAGGCCACCCUGUAAGCAGGGUAGUGCCGUUUCCCCGGCCCUCUUCCUCCUCCGGCCCCUCGGCAUCAUCGUUGCCUGGAGGUGGCCUGUCAAUGCGACGGCCCCGUACUCGGGGUGUGCGUCAGGGCAUCUGGCCUUUGGCUUUAGCUGGGAAGCCCCUUGGCACGUUGAGGUCUGUGGCCUCCGUGCAGGCUAGGGACAGGUCACAGGCUCUUGUCUGUUGCCCGCGGUUGUGGGUUUAUUCCCAGGGUUUGGCUGCGCUGGGUUGUCCUUCCCUUUGGGAAAGUCGCCUCUGUGUGUGCGUGUUGCCCUUCCUUUCCUUGUUUGUGUUUGUGGAGUGACGGAGCGACUGAGCUUUCCCUUUAGGCCCCCACAAAGAUGGCUGCAGCUUAGCUUCGACUUCCCUGGGGGGAACGGAGGACUGUGGUGCACGCCGCAAAAGGGGUGUUCCCUCUCAGUCCCGCGAGCGCAGCGAGUGUCCUGUCUUCCUCCUUUGUACUUGGUGUAGAUCAGGGCCACGUGGUAGUUGUGUGGCCGAGGCCGCCCUGUAGCCAGGGCUUGGGCCUGUUCUUGCGUGGGCGCCUGUUCCGCUGGCGGCGUGACAGCCCCGUACCCGGGGCGUGUGUCCCAAGCUGCGGAGCCCUCUGUCCCCCGAGCGGCCCGCCCGCCCUGUAAUCAGGCGUGGGGAGGCUGCGGCGUUGCAGCCGGCUGCUCUAGCCAUCCAGCUGGUGGGAAUGACCCCUCCCUGUCCCGUCAGAGGGUGCAGGUUGAGGCGCUGCUUUUGCGUGUGGGGCGACCUCCCCGCUCGGUGGGUCGAGGUUGCUCCCUGGGUUCCCAAAGACGAGACGUUGGUGUGCUGUUGUGCUGCUGCCGGGCGGGCCAGCCUGUAGCUCAGGCGUUGGCGGGAGCCUCGUGCUCCGCGGGGCUUCUUGGUGAGGGUGGGCAGCGGGGGCACCGUCCUGUAGGCAGGGCUGCGCGUGCCCCCCGCGUGUGCUUGCUUGGUGAGGUGCGUUGUGAGAGACCCCCUGUACUCAGGCGGGAAUGUGGCCCCGGCCUUUCAGAGGCACGGGGCCGCGAGGCGUGGGCUUGGGCUUGCGCCCUCCCCGCAAUCAGGGCUGGGGUCCCGACCGCGGCAUUUGGCCGUGCCGCCCCGCUGCCUGGCAGCUGAGAGUCGCUCCCGCCGCUGGGGGGGAAACCGAGCUCUGUGGCUCCAGGGGUGUCGUCCACCCGCCUGUAAUCAGGGUCUGGGUGCGCGAGCGCUUGUGCUCAGCUGGCAGCCUGUGUGGGGUGACCGCCCCGCUAGCGGGGUGCGGGUCCAGGUGCCCCCGGACUGGGAGAGAAGGAGCCUCCCGCGGCCGCUAGGGAUGGGGGCUGCCCUGUAAGCCAGGGAGCGACAGUGCCCCGCAGUCCCAGGCCCUUUGCAAUGGAGGCAGUGGCCGGGGGUCCCCUGUAAGCAGGGAAGCUGACUCUUUGGCCGCUGCUGUGUGUGUGCCCAGCUCCAUUUGCCCAGUCUGCCCGCCUCUGUGAUCCCCCGCAGCACCGGCUGGAAGCGCGCCGUGCGUCAGCGAGGAGCCGCUGCGGAAGAGAGGAGGAGAAGCGGCGUGGGAACGCGGGAGGCAGGAGCGAGCGCGCAAGCAAGCAAGCAAGCAAGCAAGCAAGCAAGCAAGAAGAGGAUGCGGAAGCGUGCAGACGCGGGGGGGAAGGAGAGAGGCUCCCUGGGCAAAGCAGCCGUCCCGUUAGCGGGGCCGCAGUCACAUUUAGUCCCAUUUGAGUUUGAGCGUUGCCGGCGCCUUGGCCGGCUUUGUGCUGGGCGACCUCCCUGUAAGCAGGGCUCGGGUCUUUGCUUUUGCUGUAGUUGGCCUUUUGCCUUGCUGCUCCUUUGGCUGCCUGGGGAGCGUGGGCCCCUGUAACGCAGGGCGAGAGCCACCUCUCCGCACCUGAGUGGGAAAUGGAGCUCGCCGGACCCCGAGGCCACCCUGUAAGCAGGGUAGUGCCGUUUCCCCGGCCCUCUUCCUCCUCCGGCCCCUCGGCAUCAUCGUUGCCUGGAGGUGGCCUGUCAAUGCGACGGCCCCGUACUCGGGGUGUGCGUCAGGGCAUCUGGCCUUUGGCUUUAGCUGGGAAGCCCCUUGGCACGUUGAGGUCUGUGGCCUCCGUGCAGGCUAGGGACAGGUCACAGGCUCUUGUCUGUUGCCCGCGGUUGUGGGUUUAUUCCCAGGGUUUGGCUGCGCUGGGUUGUCCUUCCCUUUGGGAAAGUCGCCUCUGUGUGUGCGUGUUGCCCUUCCUUUCCUUGUUUGUGUUUGUGGAGUGACGGAGCGACUGAGCUUUCCCUUUAGGCCCCCACAAAGAUGGCUGCAGCUUAGCUUCGACUUCCCUGGGGGGAACGGAGGACUGUGGUGCACGCCGCAAAAGGGGUGUUCCCUCUCAGUCCCGCGAGCGCAGCGAGUGUCCUGUCUUCCUCCUUUGUACUUGGUGUAGAUCAGGGCCACGUGGUAGUUGUGUGGCCGAGGCCGCCCUGUAGCCAGGGCUUGGGCCUGUUCUUGCGUGGGCGCCUGUUCCGCUGGCGGCGUGACAGCCCCGUACCCGGGGCGUGUGUCCCAAGCUGCGGAGCCCUCUGUCCCCCGAGCGGCCCGCCCGCCCUGUAAUCAGGCGUGGGGAGGCUGCGGCGUUGCAGCCGGCUGCUCUAGCCAUCCAGCUGGUGGGAAUGACCCCUCCCUGUCCCGUCAGAGGGUGCAGGUUGAGGCGCUGCUUUUGCGUGUGGGGCGACCUCCCCGCUCGGUGGGUCGAGGUUGCUCCCUGGGUUCCCAAAGACGAGACGUUGGUGUGCUGUUGUGCUGCUGCCGGGCGGGCCAGCCUGUAGCUCAGGCGUUGGCGGGAGCCUCGUGCUCCGCGGGGCUUCUUGGUGAGGGUGGGCAGCGGGGGCACCGUCCUGUAGGCAGGGCUGCGCGUGCCCCCCGCGUGUGCUUGCUUGGUGAGGUGCGUUGUGAGAGACCCCCUGUACUCAGGCGGGAAUGUGGCCCCGGCCUUUCAGAGGCACGGGGCCGCGAGGCGUGGGCUUGGGCUUGCGCCCUCCCCGCAAUCAGGGCUGGGGUCCCGACCGCGGCAUUUGGCCGUGCCGCCCCGCUGCCUGGCAGCUGAGAGUCGCUCCCGCCGCUGGGGGGGAAACCGAGCUCUGUGGCUCCAGGGGUGUCGUCCACCCGCCUGUAAUCAGGGUCUGGGUGCGCGAGCGCUUGUGCUCAGCUGGCAGCCUGUGUGGGGUGACCGCCCCGCUAGCGGGGUGCGGGUCCAGGUGCCCCCGGACUGGGAGAGAAGGAGCCUCCCGCGGCCGCUAGGGAUGGGGGCUGCCCUGUAAGCCAGGGAGCGACAGUGCCCCGCAGUCCCAGGCCCUUUGCAAUGGAGGCAGUGGCCGGGGGUCCCCUGUAAGCAGGGAAGCUGACUCUUUGGCCGCUGCUGUGUGUGUGCCCAGCUCCAUUUGCCCAGUCUGCCCGCCUCUGUGAUCCCCCGCAGCACCGGCUGGAAGCGCGCCGUGCGUCAGCGAGGAGCCGCUGCGGAAGAGAGGAGGAGAAGCGGCGUGGGAACGCGGGAGGCAGGAGCGAGCGCGCAAGCAAGCAAGCAAGCAAGCAAGCAAGCAAGAAGAGGAUGCGGAAGCGUGCAGACGCGGGGGGGAAGGAGAGAGGCUCCCUGGGCAAAGCAGCCGUCCCGUUAGCGGGGCCGCAGUCACAUUUAGUCCCAUUUGAGUUUGAGCGUUGCCGGCGCCUUGGCCGGCUUUGUGCUGGGCGACCUCCCUGUAAGCAGGGCUCGGGUCUUUGCUUUUGCUGUAGUUGGCCUUUUGCCUUGCUGCUCCUUUGGCUGCCUGGGGAGCGUGGGCCCCUGUAACGCAGGGCGAGAGCCACCUCUCCGCACCUGAGUGGGAAAUGGAGCUCGCCGGACCCCGAGGCCACCCUGUAAGCAGGGUAGUGCCGUUUCCCCGGCCCUCUUCCUCCUCCGGCCCCUCGGCAUCAUCGUUGCCUGGAGGUGGCCUGUCAAUGCGACGGCCCCGUACUCGGGGUGUGCGUCAGGGCAUCUGGCCUUUGGCUUUAGCUGGGAAGCCCCUUGGCACGUUGAGGUCUGUGGCCUCCGUGCAGGCUAGGGACAGGUCACAGGCUCUUGUCUGUUGCCCGCGGUUGUGGGUUUAUUCCCAGGGUUUGGCUGCGCUGGGUUGUCCUUCCCUUUGGGAAAGUCGCCUCUGUGUGUGCGUGUUGCCCUUCCUUUCCUUGUUUGUGUUUGUGGAGUGACGGAGCGACUGAGCUUUCCCUUUAGGCCCCCACAAAGAUGGCUGCAGCUUAGCUUCGACUUCCCUGGGGGGAACGGAGGACUGUGGUGCACGCCGCAAAAGGGGUGUUCCCUCUCAGUCCCGCGAGCGCAGCGAGUGUCCUGUCUUCCUCCUUUGUACUUGGUGUAGAUCAGGGCCACGUGGUAGUUGUGUGGCCGAGGCCGCCCUGUAGCCAGGGCUUGGGCCUGUUCUUGCGUGGGCGCCUGUUCCGCUGGCGGCGUGACAGCCCCGUACCCGGGGCGUGUGUCCCAAGCUGCGGAGCCCUCUGUCCCCCGAGCGGCCCGCCCGCCCUGUAAUCAGGCGUGGGGAGGCUGCGGCGUUGCAGCCGGCUGCUCUAGCCAUCCAGCUGGUGGGAAUGACCCCUCCCUGUCCCGUCAGAGGGUGCAGGUUGAGGCGCUGCUUUUGCGUGUGGGGCGACCUCCCCGCUCGGUGGGUCGAGGUUGCUCCCUGGGUUCCCAAAGACGAGACGUUGGUGCUGUUGUGCUGCUGCCGGGCGGGCCAGCCUGUAGCUCAGGCGUUGGCGGGAGCCUCGUGCUCCGCGGGGCUUCUAGGUGAGGGUGGGCGGCGGGGGCACCGUCCUGUAGGCAGG